rnacentral:rRNA from 1 species
GAUGAACGCUGGCGGCGUGCUUAACACAUGCAAGUCGAACGGAAAGGCCACAGCGUGCUGUGGUACUCGAGUGGCGAACGGGUGAGUAACACGUGGGUGAUCUGCCCUGUACUUUGGGAUAAGCUUGGGUAACUGGGUCUAAUACAGGAUAGGAAUCACAUGUGGGUGUGUGGUUGGAAAGCUUCUGCGGUAUGGGAUGGGCUCGCGGCCUAUCAGCUUGUUGGAGGGGUAAUGGCCUACCAAGGCGUCGACGGGUAGCCGGCCUGAGAGGGUGUACGGCCACAGUGGUACUAAGGGACGGCCCAGACGCCUACGUUGGACAGCAGUGGCGAAUAUUACACAAUGAGCGCGAGCCUGAUGCGGCGACCCCGCGGUGGUGAUGACGGCCUUCGGGUUGUAAACUCCUUUCGUCAAGGACGAAGCGGUAGUGACGGUACCUGGAUAAGAAGCACCGGCUAACUACGUG